rnacentral:lncRNA from 1 species
AAAAAAGUGGACCAAGGUGUAAACCUCAUGUCUUCUGCAAAAAUUAAUGUUAAAUGGAUUCAUUGGAUCAUCUUUUUUGUCUUCAUCCAAAACCAGUUGGUUUACACUGCAAACAGCAUUCCAAAAUGAAGAUGGGAGGAAACGAGUGAGCAUUUAGCUGUCUUCCUGAAAGCUAAAAGAGUGGUGUCCCUUCAGGAUUUGAAAUCCCUGAGCUUUCCUAGAAGGAUAAUGGUAGAUUUCAGACCUUUGUCAUGACUUUGGUGAUGGACACUGAGGACUCUGCUGGACUUUGAAGCUAGGAACACUGCUUUUAGAGUAAUAACUGGCAGCAUUGGGACAGGUGGACACAAGCCUGGGAGUUAGGGGUCCUGUAUUCUCAGCCUUAACCUCCCUUUAAAGCACCCUGUGAACUUGAGCAGGUGAUUUUCCCAGUUCUUCCUCCUCUCAGGUUCCCUCCUUCCUUCCUUUCUUCCUUCUAUCCUUCCUUCCACACUCCCUCCCUCCAUUACUUCCUUCCUUCCAUCUAUCCAUCCAACCAUCUGUCCAGAUAUCAAUCUGUCCAACUGUCCUCCUGCCUGUUCGCCUGUUUUUUCCCUCUUCUCUCCUUCCAUCCUCUUUCCUCCCAUCUUCUCUUCCUUGUGUGUAUUCUUCCUGCUUUCCCUUAGACCCUCCAUUUAUCCACUCUUCCUCUGUCCAUCCAGGUAUCCCCUCUGUCUGUACCACUACCUCUCUCUUUGUUCCAUCUCUCUCUUCAACCACACUCACUCUUUUGGGUUCAUCUCCUUCACAGGCUUGCUCAUCCCUCUACUCACACAAUCCCUCCUUCUGUC